rnacentral:rRNA from 1 species
GUGGGGAAUAUUGGACAAUGGGCGAAAGCCUGAUCCAGCCAUGCCGCGUGUGUGAAGAAGGUCUUCGGAUUGUAAAGCACUUUAAGUUGGGAGGAAGGGCAGUAAGUUAAUACCUUGCUGUUUUGACGUUACCGACAGAAUAAGCACCGGCUAACUUCGUGCCAGCAGCCGCGGUAAUACGAAGGGUGCAAGCGUUAAUCGGAAUUACUGGGCGUAAAGCGCGCGUAGGUGGUUUUGUAAGUUGGAGGUGAAAUCCCCGGGCUCAACCUGGGAACUGCCUCCAAAACUGCAUGACUAGAGUACGGUAGAGGGUAGUGGAAUUUCCUGUGUAGCGGUGAAAUGCGUAGAUAUAGGAAGGAACACCAGUGGCGAAGGCGACUACCUGGACUGAUACUGACACUGAGGUGCGAAAGCGUGGGGAGCAAACAGGAUUAGAAAACCUGGUAGUCC